UGCUGUCGGACACAACGAGGAGUUCGCGAUGCCGAGAGACAGAAUCGAGCGACGACGAGCUUUAUCUUGCCCCACCAUCAUUCAGCCGGGUCGUUGGAAAGUGGCCUCUCCUAUCUUCGGCUAGCUUAUACACGCGUCAUGAGAUUGAAUCAACGUCUGACCGUGUUAUUGUCGGCAGUGUGCACGCUGCAUUAUUGUCAGAAGGAAGGUGAACGUGCGGAAAUCAUUCGAAAAACUUUAUUUGCUCUUAGUUAAUGAUAAUUGAAAGCGGUUCGGAAUGUCGUGAGUACAUUCUUCUGGUCAUAUGCCGUUAGAAACGGUCGCAGCGAAUCGGAAAUCAUUGUGAUAAAGUGCAAGUGAUUGGCGCGAAUCACAGUCCUUGAUAUAAGUGAAAAUCUGACGCGGUGAUACGAAUGAGAUCUGAGUGCGUAAAAGUUAAUGAAAUAUUUGGUGAUACGUGAAUCGUCGAUAACUGACAGUAAAUAUGACGACAAAUGGACGAGAUUUUAUGCAAUUGCGAUCGGAAGGAAGACCGAUACCUGUCAUAUUACCCCAGCCCGACGUCGAUAGCAAAUUAUUAGAUAUCGAGACUUCCAUACCUGCGACUCCGAAACUCUCCAUCGAAUUCAACAAUUUGAGCUACUCGGUUUGCUGCAGAAAAGGUAGCAAACAAAAGAAAGAUAUCCUUCGUUCGGUGUCUGGGUAUUUUCGUCCGGGUCGUUUGACCGCUAUAAUCGGACCGUCCGGUGCUGGAAAGACAUCGCUUUUGAGCAUAAUUUCAGGGCUCAGAUCGUCGAACUUGAAGGGUUCGAUCACCGUGAACGGCGCCGAAAGAAAUAGCGAACUCUUCCGAAGGCAGGCCUGCUACAUUCCACAGCAAUUCGCACUGUUGCCUCUUCUCACCGUCCGCGAAACCCUGCGAAUUGCCGCUGACCUGAAACUCGGAUCGCUUAUCCACACCGCCGAAUUUAAGAGCCGCACUGUAAACGACAUCGUCGCCAACCUCGGACUCUUAUCAUGCCUUGAUACGUACGCGGGAGACCUGAGCGGUGGUGAAAGGAAAAGACUUUCGAUCGGAGUCGAGCUCAUAACUAAUCCACCGGUAAUGCUUCUGGACGAACCAACGAGUGGGUUGGACAGUGCAGGAUCUGCACAGGUGAUGACCUUACUGAGCUCGCUGGCUCAAGCGGGUAGAACGGUGGUCUGUGCUGUCCAUCAGCCUGGCAGUCAAUUGAUAUCUUUGUUCGACGAUAUCGUUGUUUUGUCUCGUGGUCGAAUAGUCUAUUGUGGUCCACGAGAUGAAAUUCUAGAGACGUUUGCCAGCGUUGGUUACACUUGCCCCCAACUUUACAACAUUGCAGAUUUUGUGCUCGAGGUCGUUACAACGCCGCAAGUUGACCUGGAUCGAAUCUUAGAAGUUAGAAACGCGAAAUUCGAAGCGAAUAAACUUCCGCCUUAUUUGUCCGCCGUUGCUCAAAAUAAGCGGCAGAUAGUCAAUGGCUCGGGGCCCCCGUUGAACAUUUAUUCCGGAACCAACGGCGCCCACAAUGAAUGCGUUCCAGGGAAAGCACUCCACGCAAGGUCCGGAUGGAAACAGUUUUUGAUUCUCAUCCACAGAUCGAUAAUAUGCGCGCGAAGAGACAACACGUUGACGAAACUCAGGAUAGCGGCUCAUUUGGCCGUAGGUUUGCUAUUAGGAUUCGUAUUUUACGAUUCUGCAAAUGACGCAGUUCGAAUUCAAAGCAAUGUAGCUUGCGUUUUCACCUCCCUCUUGUUUCUGUUCUUCGGUAGUGCAAUGCCAGCUGUGCAGAUGUUCCCGAUCGAAGCUGCGGUUAUUCUUCGCGAACAUUUGAACAAUUGGUACUCGCUGUGGUCCUACUACGUGGCGAAAGUUCUCGCGGAUCUUCCAAUACAGAUCAUCUGUCCAACCUGCUUUCUGGUGUUCGUUUACUGGCUAACCGGACAACCCCUUGAAUUUGACCGGAUUUGGCGAGUUUGGCUAAUCUGCGUUUUACUAACCAUUCUCGCACAAUCCUUCGGCAUCGCGGCGGGGACAGCAUGCGGUUCACAGCAACAACUGAAACGAAGCGACGUGGAAAUCUGUAAAGUGGACGACUUGGAUGUCGAAAUCUACGUCGAAGACCACAAAAUCCUUUGAAACCCAUGAAAUGGACAAUCCGAAUGACAGAAACCAUGACGCGGAUGACCUGGAUUUCACAAACCAUGAUGUGGACGUUCUGACCUCGAAACCUGUGAAGCGGUCGACCUGGACGUAAAAAACUGGCAAACGGACGACCAUGAUGUCAGAUGAUGAUGCGAAAGAUCUGAACGUUGAAAACUACGAAUCGGACGAUUUGGGAUGAUAUACAUAGAGAGCGGCGUACAUGAAACACAUUUUACUAUGAUUGGAGUUUUCUUGGUACCCGCGUUGAAUCUCCCCUUGUUUUUAUUCGCCGGAUUCUUCAUCAACCUUGGAGAGGUCUCCGUCUAUCUUCAGCCACUCUGCUACAUCAGUUAUUUUAGGUAUGCCUUCGAGGGU